GGGGACAGACGAAAGGUUUGUUUUUUUCUUCGAUCCCUCUGAGUUUCAAUUUUAUCUAUAAAUUAUUAUAUCACUGGUGUACACACCAUCAACUUUACUCAAUUUGUGAUAGAAUUAUACCUAAGAAUCUCUGGAUUAUGAAUUUUGAGUUGUGGCCUAAAUAAAAGCUCAAGGUUUUGAGCAUGUAAUUAUUGCAUUAGUAAGGGCAGCCGUACUUUCAGAUUACACUCACCAAAACUCACCAAAACUUUCAGAUUAUGAAUCACUGUUUUCUUUUUCUUGCUUUAUAUUUCAAGAGAAGAGUUUCUCUUCUGUAGUAUCAUAUAUGAAAUUGUCCUUAGAAUAGCGAAUUGGCAGGUUCUGCUAAGCUUCUGGAAACAGGUGGGGUGCCAAAAUUAUGUUUGGUAACAAGAAUGUUUAGUUCAUUUCAAUGGAAAAGUUGUGCCAAACAAAUUCCAAGUCUUAAACUUUCUACUCUAAUGACCAUUUUACAAAUCUCUCCUCUUGAAGUGUGCACGAUAGUCUGGAGCCAUGCCCAGAGCUCAAUUUCUGCCUGCUGCUAAAUUUUUUUGUUUACAGUCUAAUUAAUGAUCAGCAGUAACAUUGAUAUAUAUGCUCAUACUAUUUUUACUACAUACAAUCUUAGCUUCGAC
rnacentral:lncRNA from 1 species